AAUUGUUUAAAUGAUUAAAUUUUAUUUGUAAUUUUAUAUUUAAAAAAAAUAUUUAUAUUUUAGUAUGAGUUAGAAAGAAUAUUGUUUAUUAUAGUUUAAUGGUAUUGAGAAAGAAAUUUAAUAAUAUUAAUAAAAGAAGAAUUGAUUUUUUGUACCUUGUGUCUCAGGGUUUAUUUAAAAAAUGAUAAAGAUUUAUUAUUUCCGAAUUUAGAAGGGCUAUUUAGUUAUAUAUUUUAAUGUAAAAUAAUUAAGUGGAAUAAUUAAAUAGUAAUGAAAUGUUAUUCGAUUUUAAAUAUAUCUGGUUUUUAAAGAAAAAAUUUAAAGUUUAAAUUUAAUUAAUAAUUAAAAUAUUUAAUGUAUUUUAAUUAUUUUAAUAUUUAAUGUGUUUAGGGAUAAGCUUAAACACAGAUUUUUAUAAGUUUAUAAUUUUUAUAAAUAAAAUGUAGGAUUAAAAUUUUUUAUCAUUUUAAUUAUGUAAUAAUAAAUUAUUUAAUAAUAUAAAUUUUUAUAAGUUUUAAGUAUGUAUUUAAAAUUUUAUUUUAAUAUUUUUAAUAAAGUAAUAAUGAUAGAAUUAGUAUAUUUAUUUGUAAUUUUAGUAUUUUUUUUAAUAUUAAAUUAAGGAAUUCGGCAAAUAUUAUUUUUACCUGUUUAUUAAAAACAUGUCUUAUUGAUUAUAAUUUUAAGUCUAACCUGCCCAUUGAAAAUUUUGAAAGGCUGCAGUAAUUUGACUGUACAAAGGUAGCAUAAUCAUUAGUUUUUUAAUUGAAAGCUGGAAUGAAGGGUUGAAUAGAAAAUAAGCUGUCUCUGUUUAAUUGAAUAGAAUUUUAAUAUUAAGUGAAAAAGCUUAGAUGUUUAUUAAAGACGAGAAGACCCUAUAAAGUUUUAUAAAAAUUGAUAUUUUAAGUUAUUUAGGUUUAAUGAUUUAAAAAUUAUGAUUAUUUAAUUGGGGUGAUUGAAAAAUUUAAGGAACUUUUUUUUAUUAAAAACAUUUGUGUAUGGUUAAUUGGUCCAUUUUAUAUGAUUAAAAGAUUAAAUUACUUUAGGGAUAACAGCGUAAUUUUUUUUGUUUAGUUCUUAUAAAAAAAAAAGAUUGCGACCUCGAUGUUGGAUUAAAAUUAAUUUAUGGUGCAGGAGCUAUAAAGUGGGAGUCUGUUCGACUUUUAAAAUUUUACAUGAUCUGAGUUUAAACCGGUGUGAGCCAGGUUGGUUUCUAUCUUGAUUUAUUGUUAUUAUUUUAGUACGAAAGGAUUAGAUAGUAAAAUUAUAUUUUAAAAAAUGAAUAAAAUUAAA
rnacentral:rRNA from 1 species